rnacentral:misc_RNA from 1 species
UGGUGUUGAGCCACCUGCAAGUUAUCCGUCAACUUCAGGCUUUAACGAAAAUCAAGUAAAUUCAAUGGUCCCAGGGGAAAGCAGGGGAAAGGAGAUUGAAAUUCAGGGACAAGAUGCUUAUAGAAUGUGCUCAGAUCUUAACACCUCACAGGACUUUGUGAGUGGGAUCAUGAAGAUUGUUCCCUCAGAUGUAGAUAGUGAUGCGGAUUACUGGCUUUUAUCAGAUGCUGGUGUUAGCAUAACAGACAUAUGGCGCACUGAACCUGGGGUUGAGUGGAAUGAAUUUGGUACACUUCAUGAUGACUAUCGCAUGGGAAAUGUCAGCACAGCUCGACCCCAAACUCC